GGAGCGCAGAGGUCAGGAAGUGGCCGCGGGGCUCCGGGGCCGCGUGAGACUGGCCUGUGCCUGCCCUCCCCUGCCUGCGUCUCCCCGACCCCGCCGUCAGAUGGACUCGGAAACACUGCGACUUGUCUCCGGGAGGUGCUUGAGGGUUAAAGGACGCGGACGCCUCUCGGGCCCUGAGCCCAGUGGUUGGCACAGACGUCGCUCAGCACCCACGGAAUCAAUGCAACCAGAGCACGGACGCCACGCUCCCCAGCAAACCUCAAUUUAACGGAUGCCCACCAAGAAAAUGACGCCUCCUCAGUGUCUCCCGACUCAUGCCUUCAGUGCCAGACUCUGGGGCAGGUUUCUAGGGCACAAAGGAUGCCUGUGGCUGCUUGACUGUGAACAGGUUAUAAUGGGCUGAAGAGUGAAGCAGGAAGGCCAGUUAGAAAGGUACUGCUUCAUGCCUGGGCACUGUGGCUGGAACUGUGUGCCCUUCAUGCCCUGCGGAGGGAAACGGCAGAAGAGCCGCAAAGAGGAUCAUCUGAUGGAGGAGAAGGAAAGGGAGAGGCCCGAGAACCAGGUCCACUGGGUAAUGUCAGCGAUUGUGGUCUCAAGAUCCAAUUACCCAGUGAAAGCUGCAAGGCAAUUCAGUCCCAGACGACUCUGAAGAAAGACAAAUGGGAUGAUAAGACACAUUGUUUUUCGAGUUUCUUUCUUCAACUACCAUUUCUUGGAGAUCUUUCCAGGCCACCUCGGUCGUGCUCUCUUCCUGAAGCGGCCUCUGGCGUCAACCAGUCAUGGAUAAAGGAGCCUCUGAAGUCAGUCCCAGGACACCCCAC